GACGAACGCUGGCGGUGUGCUUAACACAUGCAAGUCGAACGGUAAGGCCCUUUCGGGGGUACACGAGUGGCGCACGGGUGAGUAACACGUGAGUAACCUGCCCUCAUCUCUGGGAUAACAGUCGGAAACGGUUGCUAAUACUGGAUAUGAGCUUGCAAGGCAUCUUGUGGGUUGGAAAGAUUUUUUUUGGUUGGGGAUGGACUCGCGGCCUAUCAGCUUGUUGGGGUGGUAGUGGCUCACCAAGGCUUCGACGGGUAGCCGGCCUGAGAGGGCGACCGGCCACAUUGGGAGUGAGAUACGGCCCAAACUCCUACGGGAGGCAGCAGUGGGGAAUAUUGCACAAUGGACGGAAGUCUGAUGCAGCAACGCCGCGUGCGGGAUGACGGCCUUCGGGUUGUAAACCGCUUUCAAUUGUGACGAAGCUUUUUUGUGACGGUAGCAGUAGAAGAAGCACCGGCUAACUACGUG
rnacentral:rRNA from 1 species